rnacentral:rRNA from 1 species
AUUGAACGCUGGCGGCAGGCUUAACACAUGCAAGUCGAGCGGAGUGAUGGUGCUUGCACUAUCACUUAGCGGCGGACGGGUGAGUAAUGCUUAGGAAUCUGCCUAUUAGUGGGGGACAACAUCUCGAAAGGGAUGCUAAUACCGCAUACGUCCUACGGGAGAAAGCAGGGGAUCACUUGUGACCUUGCGCUAAUAGAUGAGCCUAAGUCGGACUAGCUAGUUGGUGGGGUAAAGGCCUACCAAGGCGACGAUCUGUAGCGGGUCUGAGAGGAUGAUCCGCCACACUGGGCCGGUGACACGGCCCAGACUCCUACGGGAAGCAGCAGUGGGGAAUAUUGGACAAUGGGGGGAACCCUGAUCCAGCCAUGCCGCGUGUGUGAAGAAGGCCUUAUGGUUGUAAAGCACUUUAAGCGAGGAGGAGGCUCUUUUGGUUAAUACCCAAGAUGAGUGGACGUUACUCGCAGAAUAAGCACCGGCUAACUCUGUGCCAGCCGCCGCGGUAA